rnacentral:rRNA from 1 species
CCAGCAGCCGCGGUAAUUCCUACGGGAGGCAGCAGUGGGGAAUUUUGGCACACAAUGGGCGCAAGCCUGAUCCAGUAAUGCCGCGUGAGUGAAGAAGGCCUUCGGGUUGUAAAGCUCUUUCAGUCGAGAAGAAAAAGCUGCAGUGAAUAACUGUAGUUCAUGACGGUAUCGACAGAAGAAGCACCGGCUAACUACGUGCCAGCAGCCGCGGUAAU